UACGUAGGGUGCGAGCGUUGUCCGGAAUUACUGGGCGUAAAGAGCUCGUAGGUGGUUUGUCGCGUUGUUCGUGAAAUCUCACGGCUUAACUGUGAGCGUGCGGGCGAUACGGGCAGACUAGAGUACUGCAGGGGAGACUGGAAUUCCUGGUGUAGCGGUGGAAUGCGCAGAUAUCAGGAGGAACACCGGUGGCGAAGGCGGCUCACUGGACCGAGACUGACGCUGAGGCGCGAAAGCGUGGGGAGCAAACAGG
rnacentral:rRNA from 1 species